GCCUCCUCUAUUGUUCGCGACCCUAUAGGCUCCCACGCCGGCCGCCGCCCCUCGAGCUAUCUGCAUCCUGGAGCGCCGCCCCUCACCACUCCCCUGUGAUCCUCCGCCCCGGCAUGCCGCCCCUCAUCAAUCCCCUGCGACCUUCAAUCUCGGCGCGCCGUCCCUCGUCAACACUCCCCUGCGACCCGGCUUCCCGGUGCGCCGCCCCUGUCAGCGCGCCCCUACGAAUCAACUGCGUCUACUAUUCCUCCGCACGGGGGCCGGCGGUUGUGGGGAGAGUUGCCGCUACAACCACCCUCGCGAUCAAGCUAUCGUGGUUAAAUUAUAGCUGGUUGGUGCAGAGAGGAGACUCCAGCUGAAGCCCCAUGGAAGUGAAACUUGAUUGUGCAGUCCUUGAUGUCGUGGAUUAUGUGGUUGACUGAUUUCUGCUUACGUCCCAAUUUGCCGGCCUAAUCAGUCAUAUGGUCACACUUCUAUUGGGAAAAUCUUUUUUUUUACCUUAUUAUUACAGCUCAAGUAGGUGCCGUACUCACUUGUGCCAGUACUUUGUUGUAGUAGUGAGGACUUCUGUAGAAGUGAGAACAUCGACGAGUGCCUUAUCACCUAACACGGCCAUCUACUCAGAUUCCAAAGAUAAAUGGAUGAUUAUAUGGGAGUGUGUCAAGUAUACUUCUAUGAUGAUGAUGUUCCUGUUCAUGAUGAUGAUGAUGUUGAUGAUGGAGGCCUUCCAUUUUAAUAAAGUAGUAGGGGAUGUUCUUGUUGGAUGAUGUUCCUCGGUUAAGUUUUUGAUAAGUUGUACGGAUGUUGAUGGAUGCCUUCAGUUUGAGUUUCGUUGUCAAGAAAAUAUUUAGAUUACGUAUCACAUUUGGAUGAUGUCCUCGUGUAAUAUCCAUUAUUGGAAUCCAACAAUUUUAUCAAAUAUAUGAUUUCUUCCUCU